CCCUUAGAUGUCCUGGGCCGCACGCGCGCUACACUGAGUGUCUGAGAUACGAGUCUGCCUGGUCCGGCAAGGUCUAGGUAAUCGCUAAAAGACACAUCAUGCUUGGGAUAGAUUAUUGCAAAUAUUAAUCUUGAACGAGGAAUUCCUAGUAAGCGCAAGUCAACAGCCCGCGUUGAUUACGUCCCUGCCCUUUGUACACACCGCCCGUCGCUACUACUGAUUGGAUGUUUAAGCGAGGUUCUCGAACUGCUAGCGACUUAGCUUCGGUGAGGUCGCAGUGUGGGAAGUGAACCUAGCUUUGGUGUCUAGAGGAAGUAAAAGUCGUAACA
rnacentral:rRNA from 1 species